AGAGUUUGAUCCUGGCUCAGGAUGAGCGCUGGCGGCAGGCCUAACACAUGCAAGUCGAACGAAGCCUUCGGGCUCGGUGGCGCACGGGUGAGUAGCACGUGGGAGCCUACCUUGCGGUACGGAAUAACUCAGGGAAACUUGGGCUAAUACCGUAUACGUCCUUCGGGAGAAAGAUUUAUCGCCGUAAGAUGGGCCCGCGCCCGAUUAGCUAGUUGGUGGGGUAAUGGCCUACCAAGGCUGCGGUCGGUAGCUGGUCUGAGGGGAUGAUCAGCCACACUGGGACUGAGACGCGGCCCAGACUCCUACGGGAGGCAGCAGUGGGGAAUAUUCCGCAAUGGGCGAAAGCCAGACGGAGCAAUACCGCGUGAGGGAGGAAGGUUUUAGGAUUGUAAACCUCAAAACUUAGGGAAGAAAAAAAUGACGGUACCUAACAUAAGCAUCGGCUAACUCCGUGCCAGCAGCCGCGGUAAU
rnacentral:rRNA from 1 species